rnacentral:lncRNA from 1 species
GUGCGGUGUUGAGCACGCGGGAAGCACUUAACGAAAGGGAGCUGCCCCUCAGCCCUCGUGAGUCCGAUGUAAAGGAGUGAAGGAGACGAAGAACUGAAUCAGUAGUUGACCGCCUGUGAGCUGGCGAGCUGUGCCCUGGUAGGGCCUUAAAUCCCAGCCCCAGAAGUCGGAGGCAGGGCAGGCACCCCAAAGCGUGGAAGAGAUGCACCUGCGGAGUGAAAAUGCUGCUAUUGCUUCUAGGGUCAGCCUUGGUUCCUGGAACAAAGGAGCCGCAUGACUCGGGUCUGGCGAUGAUGUUGGGCUCUGCAGUGUCCUCAUCCUUCCCCCUCUCUGGGUAAUGAUAUCUUCCCAGGGUUUAAAGUGUGUCCUCUCUGCCAGUAGCUUGUCUCCACAGCCUCAUCUUUAAUUCCACCUGCCCCACCCAUUUUGGACACUGCAGCCAAGUUGCAGCAGAUCCGCAAACCUGGUAAUCCCUCACUUGAAAGUGCUGGAGGCUUUAGGAUGGGGUUCAGGGCCUGUGCAAUCUAACCGCCUGCUUUUUUUUUUUUUUUUUUUUUUUUUUUUUUGAGACGGAGUCGAAUCUCACUGUCUCCCAGGCUGGAGUGCAGUGGCGCCAUCACAGCUCAUUGCAGCCUCAACCUCCUGAGCUCAAGCCAUCCUCCCACCUCAGCCUCCCAAGUACCUGGGGUUACAGGCAAGCACCAUUACGCCUAGCUAAUUUUUCUGGGUUUUUUUUUUUUGUUUUUUUUUUUGUAUAGAUGGAUUUCGCCAUGUUGUCCAGGCUGGUCUUAAACUCUCGCUCUGUCUCCCAGGCUAGAGUGCAGUGGGGCAAUCUCGGCUCCCUGCAACCUCUGCCUCCUGGGUUCAAGCAAUUAUCCUGCCUCAGCCUACCAGUUAGCUGGGAUUACAUGUGUGCGCCACCGCGCCCGGCUAAUUUUUUUAUUUUUAGUAGAGGCGGGGUUUCACCAUGUUGACCAGGCUGGUCUCAAGACUACUGACCUCAAGUGAUCCCCCCCCCCCCCCGCCUCGGCCUCCCAAAGUGCUGGGAUUACAGACGUGAGCCACCGUGCCCAGCGGUUUUGCAUUUUCAAUUGUGGGGCACGGUGAGAAAAGACUUGAAGAAAGCAAGGGAGUGAGAUCCAUGGAAAUGUAGGGGGGAACCUUGCAGGCCUAUGGAACAGCCAGUGCAAAGGGCCUGGGGUGGGAGCUGCCUCAGGGUAGCCAGGAUGGCAGGAGGCACAGCUGCCGAGAGGAAGCAGGGGCCAGGUCCUGCAAGGUUAGAGGCCAUUGCUACUCCUGAACACAUUGGCAGGUUUUGAGCAGAGAAGUGACAUGAUUUUAGUUUUCUCAGGAUCCCUCUGGCUGCUGUGUGGAGGAAGAGGGGAGGGUGAGAGCAGGGAUACCUCUUAGGAGGCUGUGGUAGUAAUCCCAGGGAGCCAGGAUGGGAGCAGAGGAGGGGACAGGAAUUGGAUUCUGGAUGCAUUUUGGAGGGAGCAUGAAGGAAAGCGGGGUCAAAGGUUCCUCUGAGGCCUUGGCUGCCUCUCUUAUUCAUCUACAUCCAUUCUGUCAAGGACACCUUUCAUUUCUUCUUGGCACUGUCUCAAGGCCACCACGCUGCUGCCCACCUGACCAGCAGUGGCCUUUCCAGGCCUUCCAUCUUCUCCCCAGCAGCUUAUCUCUGCGUAGCCAGGUCCCAUUUCCCACACACCUUUUUUUAAAGUGUGUUGCACUGCUCUGGGUGCAGGACUGUAGCAGUGACCAGGGCAGCUCCAGAUGAAGCUUCUGCUCACAGGAACCUUUUCUACUGAAACAGAUGAUACCUAAACUCUCAGCUGUGUGACUUUAAGCAACUUGCACAACCUCUCUGUACUUCAGUUGCCUCCAUCUUCAAAUGGGGAUUAAAAAGUGUUGACAUCAUAGUGGUUGUGAGGAUUACAUGAUUUGAUAGUUUAUAAAGCACUUAGAACUUGUGAAGAAGAGUGCCUGGGGAUUGCCUAAGGUCAGGAGUUCAAGACCAGCCUGGCCAACAUGGAGAAACCUCAUCUCUGCUAAAAAUACAAAAACUAACCACGCAUGGUAGUGCACACCUCUAGUCCCAGCUACUUGGGGGGCUGAGGCAGGAGAAUCACUUGAACCUGGGAGGUGGAGAUUGCAGUGAGCCAAGAUUGCGCCACUGCACUCCAGCCUGGGCAACAGAGCAAGACUCGGUCUCCAAAGAAAAAAAAAGAACUGCCUGGCUACGGAAUAAGAACUACAUGGAGUUAUUAAAUCAAAAUCGGUGCACAAAUGAUAAUUCUUAAGAGUGAGUGCUACAGAGAACACAAAAGGCAAGGCACAGAGAGAUGACCUGGGAGGCAGGGAAGGAAAGCAUUCCCAGAGGGACCCUACCCUGGUGGCACAGGACGUCUCACACAGCACUGUCUGGGACAGCAAAAGGGAUGGAAACCACCUGAGUCCAACUAUGGAGGACACUGGAAAACACGAUGCUGCCUCCAUAGGAUGGGAUAUUGGCAAGUGUGAAGAAACAACAUUUGGUUCUGGAGGCUGCAAGCCCAGGUUCAAGGCAUCAGCAGGUGUGGUUUCCUCCGAGGCCUCUCCCCGUGGCUUGCAGAUGGCUGCCUUCUUCCUGCAUCCUCACGUGGUCCCUCCUCUGCACUCCAGCAUCCUUAAUGUCUCUUUGUGUGUCCAACUUUCCGCCCCCCCCCACCCCUUUUUUUUCUGAUGGAGUCCACCCAGACUGGAGUACAGUGGCGUGAUCUCAGCUCACUG